GUUGUAUGGUUAAGUGACUAAGCGUACACGGUGGAUGCCUUGGCAGUCAGAGGCGAUGAAGGACGUAGUAACUUGCGAUAAGCGGUGAUGAGGCAGUAACAGCCACUUGAGUCACCGAUUUCCGAAUGGGGAAACCCACUGGCAUAAGCCAGUAUCGCUGCAUGAAUACAUAGUGCAGCGAAGCGAACCGGGAGAACUGAAACAUCUAAGUACCCCGAGGAAAAGAAAUCAACCGAGAUUCCGAAAGUAGCGGCGAGCGAAAUUGGAUUAGCCCUUAAGCUUUACAUGCGUUAGACGAAUGGUCUGGAAAGGCCAACGAUACCGGGUGAUAGUCCCGUAGUCAUAGGCGCAUGUUCAGUGAAAUCGAGUAGGGCGGGACACGUGUUAUCCUGUCUGAAUAUGGGGGGACCAUCCUCCAAGGCUAAAUACUCCUGACUGACCGAUAGUGAACCAGUACCGUGAGGGAAAGGCGAAAAGAACCCCUGUGAGGGGAGUGAAAUAGAACCUGAAACCGUGUACGUACAAGCAGUAGGAGCACCUUCGUGGUGUGACUGCGUACCUUUUGUAUAAUGGGUCAGCGACUUAAUGUUAGUAGCAAGGUUAACCGCAUAGGGGAGCCGUAGGGAAACCGAGUCUUAACUGGGCGUAUAGUUGCUAGCAUUAGACCCGAAACCGAGUGAUCUAGCCAUGGGCAGGUUGAAGGUUGAGUAACAUCAACUGGAGGACCGAACCGACUAAUGUUGAAAAAUUAGCGGAUGACUUGUGGCUAGGGGUGAAAGGCCAAUCAAACUCGGAGAUAGCUGGUUCUCCCCGAAAGCUAUUUAGGUAGCGCCUCGGACGAAUACUACUGGGGGUAGAGCACUGUUAAGGCUAGGGGGUCAUCCCGACUUACCAACCCUUUGCAAACUCCGAAUACCAGUAAGUACUAUCCGGGAGACACACGGCGGGUGCUAACGUCCGUCGUGGAGAGGGAAACAACCCAGACCGCCAGCUAAGGUCCCAAAUUACAGCUAAGUGGGAAACGAUGUGGGAAGGCUUAGACAGCUAGGAUGUUGGCUUAGAAGCAGCCAUCAUUUAAAGAAAGCGUAAUAGCUCACUAGUCGAGUCGGCCUGCGCGGAAGAUGUAACGGGGCUAAGCUGUAAACCGAAGCUGCGGCAAUGUGCUUUAGCACAUUGGGUAGGGGAGCGUUCUGUAAGCCGUUGAAGGUGUGUUGUAAAGCAUGCUGGAGGUAUCAGAAGUGCGAAUGCUGACAUGAGUAACGACAAGGGGGGUGAAAAACCUCCCCGCCGGAAGACCAAGGGUUCCUGUCCAACGUUAAUCGGGGCAGGGUAAGUCGACCCCUAAGGCGAGGCCGAAAGGCGUAGUCGAUGGGAAACGGGUUAAUAUUCCCGUACUGCUUAUAAUUGCGAUGGGGGGACGGAGAAGGCUAGGUGGGCCAGGCGACGGUUGUCCUGGUUCAAGUGCGUAGGCUGAGUGUUUAGGUAAAUCCGGAUACUCUUAAGGCUGAGACACGACGUCGAGCUGCUACGGCAGUGAAGUCAUUGAUGCCCUGCUUCCAGGAAAAGCCUCUAAGCUUCAGAUUAUAAGCAAUCGUACCCCAAACCGACACAGGUGGUCGGGUAGAGAAUACCAAGGCGCUUGAGAGAACUCGGGUGAAGGAACUAGGCAAAAUGGUACCGUAACUUCGGGAGAAGGUACGCUCUUGAUGGUGAAGUCCCUCGCGGAUGGAGCUGACGAGAGUCGCAGAUACCAGGUGGCUGCAACUGUUUAUUAAAAACACAGCACUGUGCAAAAUCGCAAGAUGACGUAUACGGUGUGACGCCUGCCCGGUGCCGGAAGGUUAAUUGAUGGGGUUAGACUUCGGUCGAAGCUCUUGAUCGAAGCCCCGGUAAACGGCGGCCGUAACUAUAACGGUCCUAAGGUAGCGAAAUUCCUUGUCGGGUAAGUUCCGACCUGCACGAAUGGCGUAAUGAUGGCCACGCUGUCUCCACCCGAGACUCAGUGAAAUUGAAAUCGCUGUGAAGAUGCAGUGUACCCGCGGCUAGACGGAAAGACCCCGUGAACCUUUACUACAGCUUGGCACUGAACAUUGACCCUACAUGUGUAGGAUAGGUGGGAGGCUUUGAA
rnacentral:rRNA from 1 species